GGGGAUAUAGCUCAGUGGUAGAACUUGUGCUUAGCAUACACCAGGUCCUGGGUUCAAUUCCAAGUACCUCCA
rnacentral:tRNA from 1 species